UUUUUUUCCCCCAAAUCUCGCACGGUUGCAAGCCUGCAAGCGCGGCGAUUUUCUUCUCCGGCUGCACGAUUUUCUUCUCCGGCUGCACGCGAUCUUCUUCUCCGGUCCCAAAUCAGGCACGGCUCUAAGGCAGGUAUGGCUCUGACUUAAGGGGUAAGCAAUCUUCUUCUCUGGUCCCAAAUCCUGCACGACUCUAAGGCACGCAACGCUCCGGCUUAAGGCGCUCGUGAUCUUCUUCUCCGGAGCUCUUUCCACGAUCCACCGAACAAGCUCAAGUUCAGGUAAUCCUAAUUUUCUUCUCCAUCCUUCUUCUCCUUCCUAGAACGUGCAGCACUAGUUGCGUCCUACUCAUGCGAUGGAGGUCAUGACCUAAUCGCGCGGUGGUUGUCGCACGGGACGCCAAUCGCUCGCGCGACCUAAUUGCGAGGUGGUUGUGCCUAGCCAUUGCCGUAACCACCACAUUGUUGUAUCCUUGGUCAUCUUGGCUGCUGGAAGCGACAGCAAGGUCAGGGACGCCAGCAGAUAAAGUCUCAGCUUUCACUUGCUUGGUCGAGGAUAACCCCAUCGCAAAUAUGAGGGCACUCGAUUCCCUUUUGUAGUUGCAGCUAUGGUGACAUCCAAGGUAGGGAAAUGCUAUGCAUUUACUGGCUUUGAAGCACUGAAGGAGUUGUUCCUUUUGAGAAAAAAGAUUUGGGACGAGAUAUGGAUGAAUUUGAGGUUUUUGAACGAAUACAUCAAAGAAAGCAAGGUACUGGAGAGUUUGUGGAUAACAAAUCGGCUCGAGUUAGUGAACAAUAUAAAGAGAGACAAAAUGUUGAUGAUCAGUCUACUCAAUCUUCAUUCAAUCUCAAGUCAUGGUGUGAUGUGGUGGGCGACCCAUGCAAGGUGAGAGUGUACGGAUUUGGAUGCAAUCAACACUUUAGAAGAUCAUACAAUGGAAAUUCCAAUGAAAUGUGCUCCCAUGAGAAGAACAAGGAAUUAUUUCAAGAAAUUGAAGACAUGCGUGCUACUAACAAGAGGAUGGAGGAAGAAAUUACUGAAAGUAAAAAUAAAUUGGAACUUAUUAUCAAAGAAAAUAGACAGAUGGAAGAACAACGUAUCUAGGAAGGUACGCAAAGAGAAGAAAAUCUAAAGGAGAUGAUUCGUAAAAUGAUUCAAGAGGUGAGAUUUACAAAUCAUUUAUAUCUAAGAGGAUCUGGUCCUCGUGAGUGUUGUGAUAAGUGAAAUAAAGAUUAAAUUACUUUUCUUUGAUUAAUGGUUAAAUGUAUUUAGGUGGUGUGAAUAUUUAUUUAUUUCAAUAUUAAUUGUAUGAUAUUUUGCAUUAAAA